AUUGAACGCUGGCGGCAGGCCUAAAACAUGCAAGUCGAACGAGUGGCGGACGGGUGAGUAAUGUCUGGGAAACUGCCCGAUGGAGGGGGAUAACUACUGGAAACGGUAGCUAAUACCGCAUACCAUCAGAUGUGCCCAGAUGGGAUUGGCUAGUUGGUGGGGUAACGGCUCACCAAGGCGACGAUCCCUAGCUGGUCUGAGAGGAUGACCAGCCACACUGGAACUGAGACACGGUCCAGACUCCUACGGGAGGCAGCAGGGGGGAAUAUUGCACAAUGGGCGCAAGCCUGGUGCAGCCAUGCCGCGUGUAUGAAGAAGGCCUUCGGGUUGUAAAGUACUUUCAGCGGGGAGGCGUUACCCGCAGAAGAAGCACCGGCUAACUCCGUGCCAGCAGCCGCGGUAAUAC
rnacentral:rRNA from 1 species